rnacentral:vault_RNA from 8 species
GGGCUGGCCGUAGCUCAGCGGUUCCUUCGACUACACAGUGUUUAAAUUACUCUCUCUGAGGGUGGUUCGAGACCCGCGGGCGCUCUCCAGUCCUUUU